rnacentral:misc_RNA from 1 species
UUCUCUCUCCUCGAAUCUCUCUCUUCAGGCGUCUGUUUGGGGCAUGGCUGGUUGGAAAAUGAAGCCCAUGAGGUGUUGAGGUGUUUGCUCCAUUUCCCUCGUCGGAACGCUGCCGGAGGUGGCCAUAAUUGUGGCUUGAAGUUCAUGUGUUUAACGCGCGUUCUCCUCCUUUUUCUCAAGAAUCGUCGUCGUUCAAUGCGAGGCGAGGGCCGUGCCGGCUGCUGCGAGGUGGGCGGGGUCCUUACCGACUAUUG